UUAACAAUGCCUUCUCAAGGAUAUUUGGAAAAGAAAAAAAACAAUACUUACAAGGGCUUCACGGUGGCAGAUGGGUUAGAGCGUCUGCCUCACAAUACGAAGGUCCUGCAGUCCUGGGUUCAAAUCCAGGCUCGGGAUCUUUCCGUGUGGAGUUUGCAUGUUCUCCCCGUAAAUGCGUGGGUUCCCUCCGGGUACUCCGGCUUCCUCCCACUUCCAAAGACAUGCACCUGGGGAUAGGUUGAUUGGCAACACUAAAUUGGCCCUAGUGUGUGAAUGUGAGUGUGAAUGUUGUCUGUCUAUCUGUGUCGGCCCUGCGAUGAGGUGGCGACUUGUCCAGGGUGUACCCCGCCUUCCGCCCGAUUGUGGCUGAGAUAGGCGCCAGCGCCCCCCCGCGACCCCAAAAGGGAAUAAGCGGUAGAAAAUGGAUGGAUGUACAUACAGGUAGCCUAAAUAGCAUGUUAGCAUCGAUUAGCUGGCAGUCAUGCCGCGACCAAAUAUGUCUGAUUAGCACAUAAGUCAAUAAAAUCAACAACACUCACCUUUGUGAUUUCGUUGACUUUAUCGUUGGGAAUGCAUCUGCUUUGAGUGUCGCAGGAUAUCCAGACAUUCUUGACAUCUCUGUGCCAUCUCUGUUGUAGCAUCGCCGGUAAAAACCAAACGAGGGACUUUCGCAUCUCUUGACACUGGAGCAACUUAAAACCGUUGACUAGAAUUUGUUUGUUUGGCAUUAAAUGUGGAUGGAGGGAAAGGCUGGAUGUAAAUAUAGCUACAAAUGAGGCAUGAUGCUGUAAUAUGUACAUACAGCUAGCCUAAAUAGCAUAUUAGCAUCGAUUAGUAUGCCGAGCUAAUCGACCCCAAAAGGGAAUAAGCGAUAGAAAAUGGAUGGAUGGAAGAACAAUACUUAUGUGAGACAAGAACACACAUCUUUACCUUUUCCGUGUUUUCUAAACGGUAAACAACUGCUACUAAGAGGUGGCUAACAAUACAAGUAAUGGGAAUAUGACCUAUUCCAUAUAUAAAGCACUCUAAAAGCCUUUAGCACGUUUUUUUUCUUUUUUCAUUUUAUUUUUAUUGACAUCCAGCAUCAGACAUUCCUAUCCAUUACAUCAUAUUCACAUACAUAAGGGAUGCCCAUUACGUCGAUCGCGAGCUACCGGUCGAUCGUUGAGGGUGUGCCAGUCGAUCGCAAACCAAGCAUUAAAGAAAUAAACAAACCUAAAAAGUUGUGAUCAGCAAUCUUUACUACAACGUCACUUUGGUCACUUGAUUGACAUUCACGGCACCCGAGAGUCUUCUGAGAUGACGCUGGCUGCUGCCAAAUCAUUAAUAAGAAAACAUGACCGAGAGGAGGGCGAGAAACACUUUAUUUCAACACUCGCGCCGUACCUGCCGUCAAAACCUUAAAGACAGACUGCACAGUUGCUGUCUUCACAAUAAAAGCCCUGCUUCAUCCUGCCUGCGCUAACAAAAUAAGAGUCUCCGAAAGCUAGCGUGCACAAGUUAGUAAGUUACGGAGUUGGCCGUCAAUGUAUUUCUUGCAAAAUGUAUAAAAACGAGUAUGGAAACUGGAAAAAUAAGACACCAAAAACUAACCACUUUCAUGUGGUAUUGGACAGAGGAGGACUUUUUUCUCCUCCAUUCGAAAAUGUGGACGUUAUCAUCACUACUGUCUGAUUCCAAUCAAUGCAAGUCAUCAGAAUCAGAAUGAGAAUCAGCACCUCCAAGUCCGAGUCCAUGGUUCUCGCCCGGAAAAGGGUGGAAUGCCAUCUCCGGGUUGGGGAGGAGACCCUGCCCCAAGUGGAGGAGUUCAAGUACCUAGGAGUCUUGUUCUCGAGUGAGGGAAGAGUGGAUCGUGAGAUCGACAGGCGGAUCGGUGCGGCGUCUUCAGUAAUGCGGACGUUACACCGAUCCAUUGUGGUGAAGAAGGAGCUGAGCCGGAAGGCAAAGCUCUCAAUUUACCGGUUGAUCUACGUUCCCAUCCUCACCUAUGGUCAUGAGCUUUGGGUCAUGACCGAAAGGAUAAGAUCACGGGUACAAGCGGCCCAAAUGAGUUUCCAGGUCUCUCCCUUAGAGAUAGGGUGAGAAGCUCUGCCAUCCGGGAGGAACUCAAAGUAAAGCCGCUGCUCCUUCACAUCGAGAGGAGCCAGAUGAGGUGGUUCGGGCAUCUGGUCAGGAUGCCACCCGAACGCCUCCCUAGGGAGGUGUUUAGGCCACGGGGAAGACCCAGGACACGUUUGGAAGACUAUGUGUCCCGGCUGGCCUGGGAACGCCUCGGGAUCCCCCGGGAAGAGCUAGAUGAAGUGGCUGGGGAAAGGGAAGUCUGGGUUUCCCUGCUUAGGUUGUUGCCCCCGCGACCCGACCUCGGAUAAGCGGAAGAAGAUGGAUGGAUGGAUGGAUGGAUGGAUGGAUGGUGUUAUCAUUAAACAUGGCGGAAGCGGGUAUCGAACCUGGAACCCUCAAGUUGCUGGCACGGCCACUCUAUCAACCGAGCUAUACCACCCCAUUAUUAAUAAUAAAUUAUUAACAAUAAUAAUCAGAAAUAAUAUAAAUAAUUUGAAUAAAUGGGUUAAAUGG